GAUGAACGCUGGCGGCGUGCCUAAUACAUGCAAGUCGAGCGAACAGACGAGGAGCUUGCUCCUCUGACGUUAGCGGCGGACGGGUGAGUAACACGUGGAUAACCUACCUAUAAGACUGGGAUAACUUCGGGAAACCGGAGCUAAUACCGGAUAAUAUAUUGAACCGCAUGGUUCAAUAGUGAAAGACGGUUUUGCUGUCACUUAUAGAUGGAUCCGCGCCGCAUUAGCUAGUUGGUAAGGUAACGGCUUACCAAGGCUACGAUGCGUAGCCGACCUGAGAGGGUGAUCGGCCACACUGGAACUGAGACACGGUCCAGACUCCUACGGGAGGCAGCAGUAGGGAAUCUUCCGCAAUGGGCGAAAGCCUGACGGAGCAACGCCGCGUGAGUGAUGAAGGUCUUCGGAUCGUAAAGCUCUGUUAUUAGGGAAGAACAAAUGUGUAAGUAACUAUGCACGUCUUGACGGUACCUAAUCAGAAAGCCACGGCUAACUACGUG
rnacentral:rRNA from 1 species